ACCGCUGCAGACCCUGAGCUCUACGCGGGUCUGGGCGCCAACGGCCUCGCCCGUGGGGCCGGGCCGUUUCCGGGCAGCACUCCCAUCAUCCUCCCGGGACGGGAUUUGCCCAGUCUGUACCAGAGCUCCUGAGGGGUCCUGGGGCUCCCAGGCCGCGUGAGCCUGGGGGUGGGACCCCCAGAAAGGAGCGCAUUUCCUGCUCCCGCGAUCCACGCCCCACGCGCCUGUCAGCGCAUUUGCCACCUGAGGCCCGGCAGGAAGGGAGACUCGCAGGGUCUAGGAUCCACCUCUAGGCUCAUGCCUUGCCGACCGGGAGAGCUGCACCGAGUCACUUGCCUCCCUGGCCUCAGUUUCCCCAUCUGUAAAUGGCUGUAAGUACCUGCCUGCAGUGGCUCCUGAGGAAACCGCCCAAUCAGAGUGAGUCCUCCUCUCCAGGAGCUGCCACUCCGGUGGGGGAAAGAGCGACAAAGGCAGACUUCGAGAAAUUGGGCUCAUCUACUGUCGUGAGGACUGAGGACCGCAGCUCCUGUCCUUCCCCCCAGCCCUUCUCCAAGAAUACCACCGCCAUCUCUGUCGCUGCCCACAGAAGCCUGGGGCUCCUGCUGCGGCCCAUGAGGAGCCCCACCGUUCAGCACCUGACCUCACUGCCCAUGGAUGGGCCUGCUGCCUCUCCUGGGCCAGCCACGGAUAUCUCUGUCCACAAAUAGUAUUUACCAAACAUGCCCAUGUGCCCUCGUGGGCAGAAGUGAGGACUUCAGGCCCAGCAGAGACAUCUUCUCCUGGCCUCUCCUUUCUCGCUACUCUUCCUCCCUGGCAUCCUUGCUGCCCAGGCCACCUCGGGCUUCAUAGCACCAUCUCCACCCGCCAUGUUGGAUCACAUCAGCCAUGGUGGUCUCCGGCCUGUUACCACCAAAUUCACCUCUUCCAAGGGCCUCUAGAAAAUGCUGGAUGCCUCCAAUUGGGGGUGAAUUCUCUUUGUUGGCAGUUGCUAUAUUGCAGUCUGAAUGGAGCAGAGGAUGCAAAGGGCCCCACCUGCCCCUGAUGGGAACCAGGGUUCCAUCCAUCCUUGAGCCCUAGAGGAGGCCACUAUUAGCUUUCCUGAAGAAGCCAGUCCUGGCCCUAAAUGCAGAUGAGCACGGGGAGACUGCACCCCUAGAUUAUAGUGCCCCCACCAGAGAAGUGGAACCUCACCAACUCCACAGGGACUCUGGGAGACAAAGUGUGGCUGGCUUCACCACCUCCUGCUGUUGGCCAAGUUGGAACCUUAGCAGAAACAAGGGGCUGGGUGGGCACCAUCAGAACCAUCUGACAGGUGAAGAAACUGACCUGGAGAAGGGUGAAUGGAAAUGGUCGGGGGCUCUCUGCUGGGCCCACCCACCGCUCUGCCUUGGGCCAGGGAAGCCCCUGUGAAUGCAGAUGGGAGACGCCUUCUAGAAAGUUCCCUGAGUCAAGAAUUUAGAAAAAACUUCAAAGCCAUGGACAGCGGCAAACCUGCCCUGCAGAACUCACAUCCAGGGAGCUCGGGCCAAAUUCAGCAGAGGCUUUUUGCCUAAACCUCAAAUUCUUGGAUUAUAAAAAGAGCAACAUCUGCAUUUUCAUAUAUUUUAACAUUUAAUAAACCAAGAAUUCUGAAUAAUAAACAUCUUGAUGGAACAAUUUCCCCCCCUUAGCCUUUUCCACUAGACAGGAGUGGGUCAGACACUCUGGCCACCAUAGCUCUGGCUUUCUUACCAGAGGCUGCCUUUUCUUUUUUUGGUACUGGAGAUUGAAUCCAGGGUGUUCUGCCACUGAACUACAUCCCUGAGCCUUUUAUGUUUUAUUUUGAGGCAGAGCCUCGAUAAGCUGUCCAGGCCGCACUUGAACUUGACACCCUCCUGCCUCUGUCUCCUAGUGCUGGGAUUGUAGGUGUGCACCACCAUGCCUGACCAGGGACUGCCCUCAAGAGCCCAGCUGGGCAUCUAGCCAGUCCGUUGGUGGGAGGUAUGGACUGCAAACUUGCAGGCCAGGUUGUCAAGCGGGCAGUGGGUGUAAUAAAUACUUUAUUGUUUCUUGAUUCUGCUAGGUUGGACAGUACCAACGGUCUGUUAAGUAGCUUGCACAAAAACCUUCUCACCAGCUGGGGUUUUCUGUACAUUUAAUCUUGGCCUGGAAGGAGAGGAAGAAAUGACUGCUAGCAGACACCUUGAGCUGCUCCUGCGGAGGCCCUAGAGCCAGAGGACAAAUCCCACUCCCUUAACUUCCCACCUCAGAAACCCUUGAAGACAAAAUAGUUCAUUGUACAGUUGGAGCUCAGGACCCAAGUGCCUGAGGGCAAAGAGGGCAAAGAGGAGGGGUUUCUCUUUGCUACAGCCUUUUGCUGCCUCUGAGGUGCAUGCAGUUUCGGACAAAGAGGGAUGGGGAUCCAGAGCAGGCCGGAUCAGAGGCCACAGUGCUUCCCUGGGCUGGAAAUACAACUGUGUUGUUCUCAAAAUUGAGAGGAAAGUUGAAUC
rnacentral:lncRNA from 1 species